UACGUAGGGUGCGAGCGUUAAUCGGAAUUACUGGGCGUAAAGCGUGCGCAGGCGGUCUUGCAAGACAGAUGUGAAAUCCCCGGGCUUAACCUGGGAACUGCAUUUGUGACUGCAAGGCUGGAGUACGGUAGAGGGGGAUGGAAUUCCGCGUGUAGCAGUGAAAUGCGUAGAUAUCAGGAGGAACACCGAUGGCGAAGGCAGGUCUCUGGGCUGACACUGACGCUCAUGCCCGAAAGCGUGGGGAGCAAACAGG
rnacentral:rRNA from 1 species